UCGAGUUCGGGUCCUCUGGGCCCAACCUCCAACCCCAUGUCUACUACUCUUGUUGCUUUGGCGGGUCGUGGCUUCACGGCCCCGCCGGCUUCGGCUGGCGAGCGCCCGUCAGAGACCAUUUUAAAAACUCUUUUUAAAACAUGCAAGUCUGAAUUACAAAAAAAAUAGCUAA
rnacentral:misc_RNA from 1 species